rnacentral:rRNA from 1 species
CCUACGGGGUGCACCAGUGGGGAAUAUUGCACAAUGGGCGCAAGCCUGAUGCAGCCAUGCCGCGUGUAUGAAGAAGGCCUUAGGGUUGUAAAGUACUUCCAGUUGGGGGGAAGGCGUUGAUGCUAAUAUCAUCAACGGUUGACGUUACCAACAGAAGAAGCACCGGCUAACUCCGUGCCAGCAGCCGCGGUAAUACGGAGGGUGCAAGCGUUAAUCGGAAUUACUGGGCGUAAAGCGCACGCAGGCGGUUGAUUAAGUUAGAUGUGAAAUCCCCGGGCUUAACCUGGGAAUGGCAUCUAAGACUGGUCAGCUAGAGUCUUGUAGAGGGGGGUAGAAUUCCAUGUGUAGCGGUGGAAUGCGUAGAGAUGUGGAGGAAUACCGGUGGCGAAGGCGGCCCCCUGGACAAAGACCGACGCUCAGGUGCGAAAGCGUGGGGAGCAAACAGGAUUAGAUACCCUUGUAGUC